UACGGAAGGCAGCAGUGGGGAAUAUUGGACAAUGGGCGAAAGCCUGAUCCAGCCAUGCCGCAUGAGUGAAGAAGGCCUUCGGGUUGUAAAGCUCUUUUAGUGAGAAAGAUAAUGACGGUACUCACAGAAGAAGUCCUGGCUAACUCCGUGCCAGCAGCCGCGGUAAUACGGAGAGGGCUAGCGUUAUUCGGAAUUAUUGGGCGUAAAGAGCGCGUAGGCUGAUUAGUAAGUUAAAAGUGAAAUCCCAAAGCUUAACUUUGGAAUUGCUUUUUAAAACUGCUAGUCUAGAGAUUUGAAAGAGGAUGGAGGAAUUCCUAGUGUAGAGGUGAAAUUCGUAAAUAUUAGGAGGAACACCAGUGGCGAAGGCGUCUAUCUGGUUCAAAUCUGACGCUGAGGCGCGAAGGGCGUGGGGAGCAAACGAGGGAUUAGAUACC
rnacentral:rRNA from 1 species